AUUUUUUCUCGGCUUUGUCUCGUUUUAGUUUAUUCAAUUAGUUUGAUGGGUUGUUAUAAAGGUUUGAUCUUUGGUUGAUCUACAGAUUGGCGUUGGAGGAGGUAAAGUUUUUGCAGAAGCAAAGAGAGAAAUUUAGUGAUCCCAGCUUUAUCUUCAACGGGAGAAAGCCGAAGCUGAAGCAGAGAAAGAGGAGCUUAUGUUGCAAGGUACUUUUGCUCAAGAGACUGUUUUUUUAUUGAAGAUCCCAACAUGGUAAAGUAUAUUGAACGAGAAUUGGCUAAGAAGAGGGGGAAAAUAUUGAUGAUGCGGAGGAGGUUGAGAAUGAGUUGAAGCGAGUGAAGAUGAGUUAUAUAAGAUACCUGAUCAUCUAAAGUUAAGAAGCGUAGUUUCGAAGAGAGCUCGACACAGUGGACUACCGGAAUAGAAGAAGUCCAACUCCCAAACGAGUAUGAAUAUUGUUAAAUACACUUUUUUUGAUUUGAUGAUAAACCUUUUAGUGUUUUAAUGACUAAUGGUUUGUUAUUUGGGUGGAUGGUAUAGAUCUGCCAAGAAGCUUUUGUAAGAGUAGAGGCUUAUAUAUGGGUCGGCCAAAAUCAGAAUUUAGUGUAUUUUAUUUACCUGUUUGUGUAGUGGUUUCUUGGAGAGGUAUAUUAUUAUGAAUUUUUCUCUCUUUGAAGAUAAAGUUGGGAUCCUUAUUGUACAGGGCUAGCAUUUAGGAUAUUGGUCACUAAUUACCUUGGUUUAGACGGCUUAAACCAUCCUCUCUGCUAGGAAAUCGAGAAGCUGAUCGAUUCUAUUGAAGUUACUCCUGCUGAGUUAGCUGAAGAGCUGAUGCAAGACGAUGACACUGACAUUGUUCUUCGUGGAGUAGUUAGUUUUGUUGAGAAGAGGAAGGUCGAGCGAAGCAAAACCAAGGAGCUGGAGGAUGCUAUGUGUAAAGUAAUUGAUGAUGACUACGUAGUUGAUGAUGACGAAAUACACAAUGGUUCUAGGAAUGGUUCGAAUAAGAAGAAAGGGAAAGGAAGAGGCAGAGGGAAAGGGAAAGGAAAAGGAAAAGGAAAUUAAGAAGAUAAAUAUUAAGACUGAGACUUAAUCCUUCCUCUUUACGUGUCAUUGUGGUUUUUGCUUAAUAUUGCUUUUACAACUCUGUCCUGAAAGGUUCACCUGUACUGAGACAAUCAAAAGUAUCUUAAUUUAUUUGUUUGAGAAAACCGCUAGGUCUCUUAAAAAGUAUCAGGUCUAUGUUGAAGUGUCUUUAAAUCACAGGUUUUGAUGUGGUAGCUGCGUUUUGUAUCUAUGUCUGUCCAAUUUGUAUAUGAUUUUCUGACAGGGAUUACCUUAAGGAAAUUGGUUUGCUCCA